AAAAAACUAGCAUCUUACGCACCUUAAUUUGUGUUCUUCCUCGGCUUUCGAGAAGUUUCUGGGAAUUGCAAUGGACCAAAUUGUUGCCCAAGGCCUGGAUUCGAAACAUGCAGCUGUAAUGCUAAUCAAUCAUACCCAUUGCUUAUCAGUCGUAAUCAAUUCCUGCUUUUUCAACUUUCUCUUUUUUGGAAAAAGCGGAAGCAUUAUCGGCCAACUGAAAAGAGUAUGUUAUAAGUACAAUGAAAUCUGGGAAAAGAACUAUGAUGGGAGACGACGACACAGCCGCCGCUCUUUUCCCCUUCCCAAACCCUAGAGUUCGAGGCACUGAUCCCCAAGCCAAGGAUUUGAUGCCGCCAGGAGGAGGUGAGCAUGGCUGCACGGAGCAGGACCAC